UUCGAGACUUCCCUUGUGUUGUAUGGU
rnacentral:sRNA from 1 species